UGUCCAGCAGGACAUUGACACUGGCACAGUACAGUGUACUAGAUCACAGAGCUAACUGGAGUUUCACCAGGUUUUGCACAUGCUCAUUUAUGUGUUUGUUACGGUCCUGUUGCGGCUGAUAUCCCAACCACUUGUCGGGUUGAUAGCCUGACCCAUUACCAGGGGAUGUCCAGUCUCCUGAUGAGGGGAAAGAAAGGGGAUAAAAAAAUAACACACAGAGAAUAAAGAACAAUAAUUUAUUACUGGGGGGUGAUCUUUAGCUCUCUCCUGGCUAAAGACCACCUGAUCUCAGCUCUGUCCUGGCUAUGAUCACGAGCUCUGGAGUAGUCAGUCUUUAUCACUAUACAACAUAGCAAGGGGAAUGAAGGCAAAUGUAGGGAGUAGAACUAAUGCACUUAAGGAGCCAGGCUUGGAAAAAGGGAGUAACUGUGUAUUCUUGUGAAGGCCAGGUCACAGUUAACAAGGCCCCUGUGCUAUCUUGCACAUCAUAGCUAACGAGCCACCUGCAUCAUCUGUAGCUAAUGUUUGAUCUUGGAAAAAUGGUUAUGUGGAGUCAUAAUUCCCCAGCUGCAGUGUUUCCUUGCUAUAGAAACAUCACAACCUCACCAUCACUGAGACCAAAAUUGUGACCAUUGCCAUAAGGAAGUCUGUCUCCGAACACCAGCCAAAAGGUAAAUUAGAAAUUCACACUUAGGCCUUGGAAUGACUCAAUCUUAAUCAAUAGCUGAAUUUAUAAGCCAAAUCAAUAUCUGAAGCCUGCUCAGUGUGGUUUCAAGCUGGUCUGUUGCAUUCUUUGACACUUUAUCGCAUGUACAAGUUCACGGAACCAUCAUGACAACCAAGAGUUUUCUCUCAUCACAGAGUGACUCCCUGCUAUCAAUCUUUCAGAGUCCCUUGCUUCCCCUAAACCUUGGAAACCCCAAAGCCUACCUCUGCAUCAUCUCUAUAAUAUUGUUAUUUCAAGAAUAUUUCAUAUAUGGAAUUGUUACCAAUCAGCUGAGUGAUCUUUCCCUCAAUUCAGACAAAUCAUAAUAGGCAGAGUGCAGCUCCCUUGAUGGUACCUGGGCUCUGAGCAGGGCCUGUUAGCUCUUAGCAUUACAGAUCUUAGUGUCAUGGCUCUUGCAGCCCCUGCAGCUACCUGGAGCUCUUCCAGCAGCUCCUGCAGCCUCAUCCGGGCUCUCUGCAGGUUCUGCCAGUUGGCACAGGUUUCUGUCAGUCACUGGCAGUUGCCACUGUUCUUGUUUCAUCACUCUUUGGAAAUUUUCAGGGUUAAUAACCCACAGUAUUAUCAGCUCUUUUAAGUACAACCCACUCAGCCCAGUCUAUCCAAGAUAAGAUUCAUGAGUAGGCAUUCGGAGCACCCAGGCAAGGCCUUUCAUAGGACCUGUGCUGCAUCACAGGGGAACAAUGGAGUGCAGUGGAGGGAGCCCUCUGGGAAUAGCCUUAGGAUCAUGAGGGAGUGUUGCUUAUAGAGGGGGGCCUCCAUGCAUUUUUUUUCCAUACUGCAGGCCUAUUUGGGGACUUUCAGAGUAAUGACUGACAGAGGGGACCAGGGGUACAUGAAGGUUACAGGCUGGAGUCAUCUGGGGUAGGAAAACGUUUCAAGUCUGCUGUGGCCAAGGGAGACGCCUCCCAAGCAGAGGUUGAAUGUCUAGGUCUGCUACCCAAGCGUUCAAGUACUGGGGCUUGGUCUUCAGUGUGCAGUGCUGGGAGGCAAUGGGACCUUUAGAGGUGGAGCCUUGCAGAAGCUCCAAGACUGGUCCUGCUCUGCGUUGUCCUCCUGUCUUGCCGGGUGAUCACUCCCUCGCACAUGCACUCUUGCCAUGCUGCCAGCCACCAUGUGAUGCAGACACAGAGGCCUCACCAGAACCUGCACCAUGCUACGUGGACUUUCAGCUCCCAAAAUUGCAAGCUAAAUAAACUUGUUACCAGCCUCAAAUAUUCCACUAUAGUAACAGAAAGUUAACUAACAUAAGCAGUGAAGGAAAGAUGAUGAGUCAGGAGCAAACCCUUGGGAAAGGGGCAGCAUCUACUACUGGGUUCCACCCAGCACACACUGCAGGGGUGGAGAGGAAACAUGGACCAUUCACCUGCAAGGGACUCUAGGUCAGUAACCCCUCCUGCAUGGAGGAUGGGUCAGGCAACCCAGGCACUGCCAACCCUUUGCUGGUCCAGUAGAGAAGCCAAAGAAACCAGGGAUGAAGUGUUACCUAAGGGCCCAAUGAUACUAAGGGGCAAGAGGACAAACACUGGCAAAACACAAAUGGAGCCCUUUAAUUCCAGCUGUGGGUUCAGAGCACACAUAUUCAUCACGAGUACUUGAGUGCUCAUAUUGAAUACCCUGAUCCCAAAGUUUUUUAAGUCAAGUCUGCCGUGGGCAUGAGGAUGUGCAUUUCUAACACCUUCUUGGGCAGUGCUGCUGCUGCUGCUGCUGGGCUGGGGUCUCCACUCUGAGAAGCGCUGGCUACAUCAAGCCAACUCUAAUCCAUGACGCAUCUUCAGAGUUAAAAAAUAAAUAGCUAAGGAUGAGAAGACAGAAUUUACGAGAAGAGUAAUGAAUGGCCAGUCCCCUCAUCAAAGUGUCAAAACACAGGGUAAAACUAAAGAAAAUCAUACGGUAUCAGCCUAAGAAUGAGCAAGUCGGGCCGGGGAUUUAGCUCAGUGGUGCCACCGCCUGCUUCGCAAGCACAAGUUCCUGAGUUCCAUCUCCGGUACCAAAAAAAAAAAAAAAAUGAGCAGGUAACUGAUGAAACAAAAAAGAUGACCAUGAGAACAUAGUCAAUAUACAAAGUCAACAUGUGAUAGAGGGUGCCGCAGCACAGCCUCAUCCUCUCCGCUGGGGACUUGGAUUAGAUGGAGGGAGAUGCUGAGUCCCAACUGGUCUGUCCGCUGUGUCUUUUGACUGCUUUCGUAUUUUCUCUUUGCCUAGCAUUAUGGAUCCAUUUUUAUCAUCUACCUUCUGACUCACUGAUCCUCUUUCACACCCUACUUAUAACCACCGACCUGUGUGCUGCUGGCCCUGGGCAGAGCCUCCCGGGCCUGCUUGCUACCCUCCCCUCCUGCUUCUGCCUCUCCACAGGUGCAGCCCUCUCUACCCCAACCUCCACUCCUUGGUCACCUCCCUCCUCCCGGGGUAGAGAAACAUGGUGCAUCCACGUGAACCACUCAGGCAUGUGGGCACCCAGCCCCUCAUCAACACUGGUGGGACUGGCCCUGCGGCCUUCACUGAUUACUCGAAGCCCUCCCAAUUCAAAAUUCUGGACAGGUGAGGCUAAGGUUCUCCUGGGUCCACAGCACGGCCCCUCCCGGGCGCCCUCUCUGCAGACGGACACCACAGACGCGGCUCGUAGCACAUGGUACUCUUUAUUGUGACUCUCAGUGGAAAACAUCUGUAAACCAGCUUGCUGUAGUGGUGGCAGCUGCAACACAUGCUAAGGCACUUUGUAUUAUAUAAAAGGGGGUGGCUCGGAGUUCCAUUCACUCCUUUGAGACAGCAACUGGGACCUGAAUUCAGAGCUUUUUAGGCAUAUGUAGCUUCAUGAUUUGAGUUUGUUUCCUUUUUUUAAAAAAAAUGCCUUCUUGCCAUAAGUAAGUCUAAAUGCAGCAUAUACAAAACAGUUAGAAAUACAAGUAAAUUCAGCAACCAGUGUAGACCAGUGUAGGACAAGCUACUCUCUUCUAAACAUGGUUCCAAAGGAAAUGCAGUGACAGACUCAGAAUUGUAUCAUUUAUUACAAGAAGGGGAGAAAAGAAAACUUUUUUUUCCUUUCAAAAAUAAUCUGUGCAGGUGGCAGAUUUUCAAUUGUACGGAGUCAACAGUGCAGAUAAGCUGCCCUCGGGCCCCAGCCCUGGAGGAGGCACAGGAUCACGUGGAGGGCCACCAGCCUUCUCUGGUGCUCUGGCUGCCAGAUCUGGGACAAGUCCCUUAACCAUUAAAUAUAUUUGGUCCCCAAGAGUGUUAGGAGAAGCCACCAGAAGGCUGCUGGCCCUUCCAGCACGGCCGACACCCUGUCUGCUUGGCCUGACAGCCUUGCUGUGCAGGGGCGGGCUGCCCUCGGCAAAGGAGGGGAGGUGGCAUUGCACUUGAGACAUCUUGGAAUCAGGAGGGGCGGUGACAGUGGCACUGCCCAGAGGGGGGUGGGGAGAGCCUCCCUUGCCCCCACAUUGUGUGCCCUGCACAGGGGUGGAACCCAGGGCCGCUCCAUCCGGACCACUCAGGGCCCAGGAGGGUGGGAGUCUGAUGGGACAGAGGCAUGAGGUCAGCACAUGUGAUUGCCAACAGCAGACAAGGGAGGAGGAGGGAGGAGCCGAUGGCGAGGCAGGGGGAAGGGGUCCCGGUCACAGCAGUCCCUAGGCGAGGCGGGGCACUGCAGGGGCGGGGAGAGGUGCGGAGUCAUCUGUCCGUCCACGUCCACCAGGAGGCAGGAGAAGCGGCCUAUUCAGCAGGCUUGGCCUCGGCCCCAUCCACUUUGCCAUCCACCUCCUCGUCUGAGCAGUCGCCAGCACCUUUCCGGGCCAUUCGGCGGGGUACGACAAAGGGCAUGUCCCCACGCCUGAG
rnacentral:lncRNA from 1 species